rnacentral:rRNA from 1 species
CCUACGGGCGGCAGCAGUGAGGAAUAUUGGUCAAUGGGCGUAAGCCUGAACCAGCCACGUCGCGUGAGGGAUGAAGGUUCUAUGUAUCUUAAACCUCUUUUAUAAGGGAAUAAAUUGCGGUACGUGUCUUGUUUUCUCUGUCCCUUAUGAAUAAGGAUCGGCUAACUCCGGGACAGCAGCCGCGGUAAUACGGAGGAUCCGGGCGUUAUCCGGAUUUAUUGGGUUUAAAGGGUGCGUAGUCGGCUUCUCAAGUCAGGGGUGAAAUGCUGGGGCUCAACCAUGGAAUUGCCGUUGAAACUGGGAGGCUUGAGUACGUGAGAGGUAGGCGGAAUGCGUGGUGUAGCGGUGAAAUGCUUAGAUAUCACGAAGAACACCGAUUGCGAAGGCAGCUUACCAGACUAUGACUGACGCUGAGGCACGAAAGCGUGGGGAUCAAACAGGAUUAGAUACCCGGGUAGUC